rnacentral:tRNA from 1 species
GAGGGUAUAGCUCAAGUGGUAGAGCAUAUGCUUAUUAGCGUGCAUGAGAUCCUGGGUUCAAUCCCAAGUACUUCCA